rnacentral:rRNA from 1 species
GGAUUAGAUACCCUGGUAGUCCACGCCGUAAACGAUGUCUACUAGCCGUUGGGACUCUUGUAGUCUUAGUGGCGCAGCUAACGCGAUAAGUAGACCGCCUGGGGAGUACGGCCGCAAGGUUAAAACUCAAAUGAAUUGACGGGGGCCCGCACAAGCGGUGGAGCAUGUGGUUUAAUUCGAUGCAACGCGAAGAACCUUACCAGGUCUUGACAUCCAGAGAACUUUCCAGAGAUGGAUUGGUGCCUUCGGGAACUCUGAGACAGGUGCUGCAUGGCUGUCGUCAGCUCGUGCCG